rnacentral:rRNA from 1 species
GACGAACGCUGGCGGCGUGCUUAACACAUGCAAGUCGAACGGAAAGGCCCUGCUUUUGUGGGGUGCUCGAGUGGCGAACGGGUGAGUAACACGUGAGUAACCUGCCCUUGACUUUGGGAUAACUUCAGGAAACUGGGGCUAAUACCGGAUAGGAGCUCCUGCUGCAUGGUGGGGGUUGGAAAGUUUCGGCGGUUGGGGAUGGACUCGCGGCUUAUCAGCUUGUUGGUGGGGUAGUGGCUUACCAAGGCUUUGACGGGUAGCCGGCCUGAGAGGGUGACCGGCCACAUUGGGACUGAGAUACGGCCCAGACUCCUACGGGAGGCAGCAGUGGGGAAUAUUGCACAAUGGGCGGAAGCCUGAUGCAGCAACGCCGCGUGCGGGAUGACGGCCUUCGGGUUGUAAACCGCUUUCGCCUGUGACGAAGCGUGAGUGACGGUAAUGGGUAAAGAAGCACCGGCUAACUACGUGCCAGCAGCCGCGGUGAUACGUAGGGUGCGAGCGUUGUCCGGAUUUAUUGGGCGUAAAGGGCUCGUAGGUGGUUGAUCGCGUCGGAAGUGUAAUCUUGGGGCUUAACCCUGAGCGUGCUUUCGAUACGGGUUGACUUGAGGAAGGUAGGGGAGAAUGGAAUUCCUGGUGGAGCGGUGGAAUGCGCAGAUAUCAGGAGGAACACCAGUGGCGAAGGCGGUUCUCUGGGCCUUUCCUGACGCUGAGGAGCGAAAGCGUGGGGAGCGAACAGGCUUAGAUACCCUGGUAGUCCACGCUGUAAACGGUGGGUACUAGGUGUGGGGUCCAUUCCACGGGUUCCGUGCCGUAGCUAACGCUUUAAGUACCCCGCCUGGGGAGUACGGCCGCAAGGCUAAAACUCAAAGGAAUUGACGGGACCCCGCACAAGCGGCGGAGCAUGCGGAUUAAUUCGAUGCAACGCGUAGAACCUUACCUGGGUUUGACAUGGAUCGGGAGCGCUCAGAGAUGGGUGUGCCUCUUUUGGGGUCGGUUCACAGGUGGUGCAUGGCUGUCGUCAGCUCGUGUCGUGAGAUGUUGGGUUAAGUCCCGCAACGAGCGCAACCCUUGUUCACUGUUGCCAGCACGUUAUGGUGGGGACUCAGUGGAGACCGCCGGGGUCAACUCGGAGGAAGGUGGGGAUGACGUCAAGUCAUCAUGCCCCUUAUGUCCAGGGCUUCACGCAUGCUACAAUGGCUGGUACAGAGAGUGGCGAGCCUGUGAGGGUGAGCGAAUCUCGGAAAGCCGGUCUCAGUUCGGAUUGGGGUCUGCAACUCGACCUCAUGAAGUCGGAGUCGCUAGUAAUCGCAGAUCAGCAACGCUGCGGUGAAUACGUUCCCGGGGCU